rnacentral:rRNA from 1 species
CCUACGGGGGGCUGCAGUGGGGAAUAUUGGACAAUAGGGGGAACCCUGAUCCAGCCAUGCCGCGUGUGUGAAGAAGGCCCUCGGGUUGUAAAGCACUUUCAGUGAGGAAGAACGCCUGGUGGUUAAUACCCAUCAGGAAAGACAUCACUCACAGAAGAAGCACCGGCUAACUCCGUGCCAGCAGCCGCGGUAAUACGGAGGGUGCGAGCGUUAAUCGGAAUUACUGGGCGUAAAGCGCGCGUAGGUGGCUUGAUAAGCCGGUUGUGAAAGCCCCGGGCUCAACCUGGGAACGGCAUCCGGAACUGUCAAGCUAGAGUGCAGGAGAGGAAGGUAGAAUUCCCGGUGUAGCGGUGAAAUGCGUAGAGAUCGGGAGGAAUACCAGUGGCGAAGGCGGCCUUCUGGACUGACACUGACACUGAGGUGCGAAAGCGUGGGUAGCAAACAGGAUUAGAUACCCUGGUAGUC